CUGGCGGGGCGGAGGGUCGCUGCCGGCGCAAGCCGGCGGAGGAAAGUCCGAACACCGCAGGGCACGGUGCCGCGUAACUCGGGUCGUGCGACUCGAGAUGCACGCGGGCAACGGCGUCGCGAGACGCCCUGACGGAAAGUGCCACAGAAACUCAGACCGCCGCCGGCGCCUCGCGUGUCGGCGGUAAGGGUGCAAAGGUGGUGUAAGAGACCACCGCCCCAAGAGCAAUCGCGGGGGCACGGAAAACCCCACCGGGUGCAAGGCCAAAUAGGAAACCCAGGCGCGGCCCGCGCCGUGGCGCAAGCCGGGUUUCGGGUAGGGCCGCUCAGAGAAAUGAUCCUCUCCGUUCCUCACGGAACGCAGACAGAAUUCGGCUUACAGCCCCGCCGGGAAC
rnacentral:RNase_P_RNA from 1 species